rnacentral:rRNA from 1 species
AUUGAACGCUGGCGGCAUGCCUUACACAUGCAAGUCGAACGGUAACAGGUCUUCGGAUGCUGACGAGUGGCGAACGGGUGAGUAAUACAUCGGAACGUGCCCGAGAGUGGGGGAUAACGGAGCGAAAGCUUUGCUAAUACCGCAUACGGUCUACGGAUGAAAGCAGGGGACCGCAAGGCCUUGUGCUCAUGGAGCGGCCGAUGGCAGAUUAGGUAGUUGGUGGGAUAAAAGCUUACCAAGCCGACGAUCUGUAGCUGGUCUGAGAGGACGACCAGCCACACUGGGACUGAGACACGGCCCAGACUCCUACGGGAGGCAGCAGUGGGGAAUUUUGAACAAUGGGCGCAAGCCUGAUCCAGCCAUGCCGCGUGCAGGAUGAAGGCCUUCGGGUUGUAAACUGCUUUUGUACGGAACGAAAAGCCUCGGGCUAAUAUCCUGGGGUCAUGACGGUACCGUAAGAAUAAGCACCGGCUAACUACGUGCCAGCCGCCGCAGUAACAC